GCAAACUUGGUCAUUUAGAGGAAGUAAAAGUCGUAACAAGGUUUCCGUAGGUGAACCUGCGGAAGGAUCAUUAAUGAAUAAUGGAUGGAAAAGGGGGCUGUAGCUGGCCUACCAUGUAGGCAAAGUGCACGCCCUUGGGAUCGCCAGUGUUAUCCACACUAAUUCACAUGUGCACAACUGUAGCGCCAGCCCGCUACGUUUGCUGGUUCAAUAAAACUUGUUGGUGGAAAUAAAAAAAGACUUUUGGGGAUCAGAUGAUGUCGUAACAACUUUCAGCAACGGAUCUCUUGGCUCUCGCAUCGAUGAAGAACGCAGC
rnacentral:misc_RNA from 1 species